AGUGAACGCUGGCGGUAGGCCUAACACAUGCAAGUCGAACGGCAGCACAGUAAGAGCUUGCUCUUACGGGUGGCGAGUGGCGGACGGGUGAGGAAUACAUCGGAAUCUACUUUUUCGUGGGGGAUAACGUAGGGAAACUUACGCUAAUACCGCAUACGACCUACGGGUGAAAGCAGGGGAUCUUCGGACCUUGCGCGAUUGAAUGAGCCGAUGUCGGAUUAGCUAGUUGGCGGGGUAAAGGCCCACCAAGGCGACGAUCCGUAGCUGGUCUGAGAGGAUGAUCAGCAAAACUGGAACUGAGAAACGGUCCAGAAUCCUACGGGAGGCAGCAGUGGGGAAUAUUGGACAAUGGGCGAAAGCCUGAUCCAGCCAUACCGCGUGGGUGAAGAAGGCCUUCGGGUUGUAAAGCCCUUUUGUUGGGAAAGAAAAGCAGCAGGUUAAUACCCCGCUGUUCUGACGGUACCAAAAGAAUAAGCACCGGCUAACUUCGU
rnacentral:rRNA from 1 species